AGAGUUUGAUCCUGGCUCAGGAUGAACGCUAGCGGCAGGCCUAAUACAUGCAAGUCGAACGGUCCUAGCAAUAGGAUAGUGGCGCACGGGUGCGUAACGCGUAACCAACCUACCUGGAUCUGGGGGAUAGCCCGCCGAAGGGCGGAUUAAUACCGCAUAAGCUAAGUGACCGGCAUCGGUUGCUUCGUAAAGAUUUAUUGGAUUCAGAUGGGGUUGCGUAGCAUUAGCUAGAUGGCGGGGUAACGGCCCACCAUGGCGACGAUGCUUAGGGGACCUGAGAGGGUGAUCCCCCACACUGGCACUGAGAUACGGGCCAGACUCCUACGGGAGGCAGCAGUAGGGAAUAUUGGGCAAUGGGCGAGAGCCUGACCCAGCCAUGCCGCGUGCCGGAUGAAGGCCUUCUGGGUUGUAAACGGCUUUUCUCAGGGAAGAAAAAGAGGAUGCGUCCUAAACUGACGGUACCUGAGGAAUAAGCACCGGCUAACUCCGUGCCAGCAGCCGCGGUAAUACGGAGGGUGCAAGCGUUGUCCGGAUUUAUUGGGUUUAAAGGGUGCGUAGGUGGCUUGUUAAGUCCGGGGUGAAAGCCCACAGCUCAACUGUGGAACUGCCCUGGAUACUGGCAAGCUUGAGAGUAGUCGAGGGUGGCGGAAUGGACGGUGUAGCGGUGAAAUGCAUAGAUACCGUCCAGAACCCCAAUUGCGUAGGCAGCUGCCUAGGCUACAUCUGACACUGAGGCACGAAAGCGUGGGGAGCGAACAGGAUUAGAUACCCUAGUAGUCC
rnacentral:rRNA from 1 species